rnacentral:tRNA from 1 species
GCCUUUGUGGCGCAAUUGGCUAGUGCGUUCGGCUGUUAACCGGAAGGCUGGUGGUUCAAGCCCACCCAGGGGCG